rnacentral:rRNA from 1 species
CAGUCGCCGCGGUAAUACGAAGGGUGCAAGCGUUACCCGGAAUUACUGGGCGUAAAGCGUGCGUAGGUGGUGGUUUAAGUCCGUUGUGAAAGCCCUGGGCUCAACCUGGGAAUUGCAGUGGAUACUGGAUCACUAGAGUGUGGUAGAGGAUAGUGGAAUUUCCGGUGUAGCAGUGAAAUGCGUAGAGAUCGGAAGGAACAUCUGUGGCGAAGGCGACUAUCUGGGCCAACACUGACACUGAGGCACGAAAGCGUGGGGAGCAAACAGGAUUAGAUACCCCAGUAGUCCCUGUCUCUUAUAC